AUUGAAAAUCAAGCCAAGUCUCCUUCGUGACAAUCAUACCACAUCUUCUGAUUGACAAUCAUGCCACGGAUUGUUGUCUCACUUACAUAGACCCACCAUUUUGUUUUAUUCAUGUUGAAUGUCUGGUGGUGUAUUUAUAGUGUAUCUUGUCGACGUUGGGUUCUUGUCUCAUUAACGUAUAUCCCGCAUCUCAAUUCUAUUUCGCGUUUUCUUCAAAUUUUAGUUUAAUCCUUACAAAUAUAAACCUUAUUGAAAAUGUUAUUUCGUAGUUUAUUUAUACCAACGUAGUUCACCUAAACGUGUACCUAUAAAUUAUAAUGAAUCGUAAGUAGUUAAUAUUUUCUCUAAUAUUUGUCUCUAGAUUCUCGAUAAGCUGUCUUCAGGAUUCGGGUUCAAUACAAAUAAACUCGAAUCUAUGAUGGGGCCAAAACAGAAACAGAAACAGCCAGUUAGUAACACUAAAAAAUAACUUUAAACAAAUCUAAAUUAGAUCACACAAAAUUAGUAUUAUUCCUUUUAAAGGAUGUUAGUAAUCGAGAUCAACAAAAAAAAAUUGAAUUCUGGAAAAAGCACUCCUCAUUUCUAAUCAUUUAACAUCAUACAAAAAUGCUUCAUUGGAUUCAUUAGCAACUAACAAUUCAUUGGUCGAUGUGUCAUAAUGCAGAGUCCAUGGCUCGCUAAAAUCAUCUUCACGUGUGAGAAUUUGUCUGCAGCGCUGUCCAUCAGGAGAGAUAACGACAACGUUGUUAGUAAAAUACCCCGCUACAUACACGUUACCAUCAUUGUCUACAGAUAUACCUACUGGAUACGCAGAAGCACUUUUAUCACAGAACGUCCACAGUAUGUUACCAUGGUAGUCACAGCAGGUUACACUGUGAUUGUUCCUAUUUGUGUAGAUCAGUUUGUCACCGAAUGUUGUUACGUACGCAUAGUCUGGGAGUUUGGUACUGCUCACAUUGGUAAUGGUUCCGUUAUUUAAACUGAGCAUCUGUAUUCCUUUUUCUCUGGCACAAUAUAUUAAAUGUCCAUUUUUGUAUGUUACUCCACCAGUGUAUGAAUCAACUUUUAUCGAUUUCUUCAGUUUGUGCGUCUUUAAGUCGAUUAUAUUAAUCUUUUUUGACUCGCCGGAUGUAACAGCAAUAGAAUCAUCACCAAUAAAUACCACAUCAAACGUUUUACCAAUGUCCUUUAUUUCGAAAUCUUUUGAUCCGUCAGACUUAAAUACUCUUAUUUUAUCGUCAUUAUAGAGGAGAAUACCAUCCUACAAUCAGGAAGCAGUGAACAGCCAAAGACACCUGACAACUUUGUAUUGAUACGUUUCUGUAAUGUCAGAGUCAGGUUAUCGAUAUUUUUGGUUGGAAGAGCUACCAUAAUCUGGGCUUGUCUGUCCUUCCUUUUCUGAACGGAAAAAUCACAUGGAUCAGAAUUGACAUUAAUUUCUCCAAACUUCUGCACGUUGGCUGUUAUUUGCUGUAAAGACUUAUUAAUCUGACAUGAAAUAUUGACUUGAUGUGUGGAGUCACUCGUAGUAAUCGAUUGAAUACACUUUUCGUCACCUACAAUAUGUUUUUCGAUAUCUUUCAUGGUUAAAAAUGUUUGAAGUUCGGACGCAUGUUGUUUAAUAGUGACAAAGUUUUCUUGUACUUCAGUCAUCUCUUUUUCCUUUUUUUUCAGAGUAGUCAGCAAGUUUUCUAUUUUGCUUUUUUCGUGUUGUUCAACUCUCAGUAAUUCUUUAAUUAAGUCAUCCUGAAGUUUAUCAAGGUGGUGAUUUACUUGUAUCCUGGUUUGUUUUAUUUCUGCUUCAAUUUCUCUUUUCUUGUUUUCUAUAGAUUUUAAAUUUUCAUUCCUGUUCGUGCUUAGUCGUUUAAUAUUCUCGACGACUUCCUGCACGGUUUGUUCGAUUUCAUUUAAUGCGUUUGAAGUUUUGACGUUUUUUAUGAGUUCAUUAAUGUCAGUUAAGCCUUUACAAUCGUUGUGAGAUUUCACACAUUUUUUACAACAUGGACAAUCGUGUUUUGUACAGAACAGCUCGUAUUUCUCAUUAUGAAGUUUGCAGGUCUGAGAGAUUUGCAGGACUUCGGUGGGUAAGUUUUUGUAAUUCGGCAAUAGAAACGGUUUCAUGGCUUUUUGUUCCCUUUGAAACUGCAUGAUGUUUCUUACACUCUCCACAUAGUCCUUCGUCACAUUCGGAACACCAUACUACUGAAGGUUUGGUAAUCUGAAGGUUUUCACAAACACCACAAAUACCCCAAUUGGUGGCCAUAAUCCUAAAAUAGAUUGUAUGCUCUUAAAUUAAAACUUUAUUACAAAGAAUAUUCAAAUCGUUAUCUAAAAAUGGUCAUUUAACUGACAGAUUCUAGAGUAACAUUAACUUCCCACCAAAACAUGCAAAUAAAAAAUAUUAGUAUUGUAAGCGUGUUCAAGUCGAGCGCAAUUAAAUUAAAUCAAAACAGGAAAUUGAAGGACCUAUAAUAUGAUGAAUAAGGAUUACCAGCCUAUAAUUGAAUGUAUAUUUGAAAAAAGAGGAUACGCUACGGCUAUGUAGCCUCGAAACAGAUUGUCUACAGACCUCCACAACUGAUGCAUGUAUUUAAUUUCCCAGUUCGUGCAAGUCUAAACCACCAUACCUGAAUUUUGACGUAAUAAUAGUCGGUCAUUGUGGCAGAUGUGAAAAUUAGAGGUUUUUUUUGUUUUGUUUUUUUAAGAAAAACUGUAUUGAAAUUUAGAAAAAAAAAAGUAUUGCAUACAUAAACACACUGAAAUAUUGAAAUGUCUCCCCUUCUUAAUUAUAUAUCUGUAUUUAUUGUUAAUUUUUCUCGAAAUAUUUGCCACCAGAGAAUAUCGGCAACCAAAAAUUAAUUUAUAAUGCAUGUAUAUAGUUUUUGGCAAUAAAUACAUAUUGUACUGAUCAACUGUGUACUUAGUAAACAUGAACAUAACAAAAUGUUAGAAUAUAGGCCACAUUGGUACAUGUAAAUAUAGUAAAUCAUGUAAUGUUUCCCAAAUAAAAUAAGAAACAUUAUAGACCAUUAUAUAGUAAUUAAAGUAAUUGUAGACUUUUCAGUUGAAGUGUGUAUUUGUGUGGAGUCUGUGUAAAUUGUGACUGUAUAAAACAAAGACACAAUGAUACAUUUCUAAAUACGUCUUACAUGUAUAAAUAGAAUAUUUCUUUGGAAAAGAAAGAUAAAUGGUCGCAUGAUUAAAUGUUUGUAAACUAGGGGAGAUAAUUUGAAUUAUUAAUAGAAUGUACUAGAUAAAUGAUUCCUCGUGUAAAUAUACACCAAUGCACCUGGUUUCAUUUUAUAUUCGCAUCACGAUUUUAUGAAACUUUAUUUAUCAAAAGAUUUUAAAAAAGCUUUUUUUUUUAGCAAACCAGUAUUGUAAUUUAAAAUAUAUUAAAGAAACAUAUUUCGUAUAAAACAUGUAUAACACUGAAAUACUGGAAUGUCUCACAUUCUAAAUUACAUACUUGUAUUUGUUGUAAUUUUUUUCCCGUUGGACAUGUACAAAAUAUUUGCAGGACGAUAUAGGCAACCACAAAUCAAUUGAUAGUGCAUGACGUAUAGUUUUUGCAAUUAAAACAUAUUAUACUGCUCAACUGUGUUUACUUAGUAAACAUGUACACGGUAAAUACAUUCAACGAUCGAUAUAUUGUUCUUGUGUUAUAACAAAAAUUCAUAAAGAAAAAUUUACUAAAAACAAAAACAAAAACAAAAAAAGACAGACCUCCAUACAAUUUGAAACUCGAAGGGAACAUAAAAAAAUGUUAAAAUAGGUAAAUAAAGUGAAACAAUCAACGUGUUCGAACAUAUUCAAUAAAAGAACUGAAUCGAAAGUUGAUCAAAACAAUAAAAAAAAUAUUAUGGAAAUUAAACUAGUAAUUCUAUAUUAUUGAGCUGUAGUAUGUUUGUGUGGAUGUCUCUAUACAUUGUGACUGUCUAAUACAAAGAAACAAUGAUACAAGUGACAUACCUAAAUCAGUCUUAAAAAUAGAACAUUCCUUUGGAAAGGAAGGUAGAUGGUCACAUGAUUUAGUAUGUGUACGCAAUGGGAGAUAAUUUGAAUUGAAAAUAGAAUACAGAUAAAUGAUUUGACAUGUAAAUAUACAUCAAUGUACUUGGUUUUCUUUUAUAUUCGUAUCAUGAUUUUAUGCAACUGAAUUUAUCACAUGAUUUUAAAAAGCCUUUUAUAUUGAUAACAUGUAAGUACAUUUUACAUAUUAAUUAACAUUCUCAUAGGCGGAUCCAGGGGGGGGGCUGGGGGCCGGGGCCCCCUUUCGUGGGAAAAAUUUGGUUGAUUAUAUAGGGAAUUACCGAAGCAUGACUAGAGCGGGCCCCACCUUAGGUCAUUCAGCGCCCCCCCCCCCCCCUUAUGAAAAGUUCUGGAUCUGCCACAAUUUUAAUCCAUUUUCCUUUUUUUUCUAGUUUUUAGGCCCACUACUUCCUAUUCUUUAUAUUUCUGCAGACUUUUUUUUUCGUUUUUUUUUUUAAAAGCCUUUUAUAUUGAUAACACGUAAGUGCAUUUUACAUAUUAAUUAACGUUCUUCAAUUCUAUUCUCUUUAGUUUUUAAUCCAUUUUCCUUUUUUUUUUCUAGUUUUUAGGCCUACUACUUCCUAUUCUUUAUAUUUCUGCAGACAUUUUUUUUUUCGUUUUUUGAGGCUCCUAUUACCUUAGCUGUAUUUGAAGAGCUACCAUAAUCUGGGUUUGUCUGUCCUUCCGUUUUCGAAUGGAAAAAUCAAAUGGUUCAGAACUGCAAUUAAUUUCCUAAAAUUUCUUUACGUUGGAUGUUAUUUGAUGUAAAAGACUUGUUAAUCUGGAAUGAAAUACUGACUUGAUUAGUGGAGUCGCUUGUGGCAAUCGAUUGAAUGAAUUUUUCCUCGCCUGUAAUAUUUUUUUCGAUAUCUUUCAUUGUUAAAAAUGUUUGAAGUUCGGACGCAUGCUGUUUAAUACUGGCAACAUUUUCUUGUACUUCGACGAUCUCUUUUACUUUCUUUUUCAGAGUAGUCAAUAAUUUUUCUAUUUUGCAUUUUUCGUGUUGUUCAACUAUCAAUAAUUCUUUAAUCAUGUCAUCCUGACGUUUAUCAAGGUGGUGAUUUACUUGUAUCCUGGUUUGUUUUAUUUUUGCUCCAAUUUCUCUUUUCUUGUUUUCUAUAGAUUUCAAAUUUUCAUUCCUGUUCGUGCAGAGUCGUUCAAUAUUCUCGACGACGUCCUGCAGGGUUUGUUCCAAUUCGUAAAAGGUAUUUGAAGUUUUGACGUUUUUUAUGAGUUCAUUAAUGUCGAUUAAACCUUUACAAUCGUUUUGAGAUUUCAGACAUUUCUUACAGCAUGGACACUCGUGUUUUGUACAGAAAAGUUCGUAUUUCUCAUUAUGAAGUUUGCAGAUCUGGGCGAUUUGCAGGACUUCGGUAGGUACCGUUUUGUAUUCGGCGAUAGAAACGGUUUCGUGGCUUUUUGUUGCUUUGGAAACAGCGUGAUGAGUCUUACACUCUUUACAAAGUACUUCGUCAAAUUUGGAACACCAUACUACAAAUGUUUGGUAAUAUGAAGAUUGUCACGCACACCAUAGAUACUCCAAUUGGUAGCCAUAAUUCUACAACAGAUUGCAUGCACUGCAAUGAAUGCUGUUUUAUAUUCAGAAAUGUAUAGCCAACUUUACUGUCAUAAUUUAAUUUAUCUUAAAGGUUGCAUUUCUGUAAAUAUUGAAAAUGCAAUUCCCCAUAGGAACUCCUUUUACGGCUAAAACUGUACCACUUUUAAUAUAAAUAAAAUUGAAUUCUUAAACAAAUUGAAAACUGUACCUAUACGCCUUAUUUAAGGUCCAGAAGUUUAGUAUUCAUAUUGUCGUCUUAGAACAAUGUAGAAAGUCUUACUGAUUAAAAUACUACUAUAGGGAACAAUUUGAAAAUGAUUGAGUAGUGUCAACCCUGUCAUUAUGAUCCGUGUAAAUAGCAAAAUCCGAACUACGCCGUUUGUGGUGAGCCUGUCAGAUGCGGAACUAAUAUAAAAAUAUAUAAAACUAGAACACACCCGUGAUAUCGCGGGUCCGUGUCUGAAUUAAAGUAAAUAGCUAUGCGUAAAGUCAUGCCAAUUAAAAGACGCACAGUUUUCUGUGCUUUCAAAAUCUUUCUCUUUGAACCUGUCAACCGGAAACUUAUCAAUUAUUGCUAAUAUUACAUAUUUGGAAAAAGAAAGGUCCUGGAAUAGCUAUAUUUUAAUGAACAGCAUUGUCCUAUAUUAGUUAUAAAUAAAGUUGAAUUCUUAAACAAAUGAAAAACGCCUUAUUUUAGGUACAGUAUUUUAGUAUUCGUAUUGUCAUCUUAGAAAGUCUUACUGGUUAAAAUACUACAAUAGUGAACAAUUUGGCAAUAAUUGAAUUUAAUAGUGUCAACCUUGUCAUUAUGACCUGUGUAUAUAGCAAAAUCCGAAAUACGCCGUUUGGUGGUGCGCCUGUCAGAUGCGAAACGUACAGAUAAUGUGAAUAUACUAAAUAUGUAUCGGUAUCAGAUUCGACGAGGAACUUGUUAAUUAUUGGCAAUAUUAAUUAUGUGGAAAACAAAAGGGUCUGGAGUGGUGUAAUUUUAAAUCAACACCAUUGUCCUAUAUUGGCUAUAUAUAAAAUUGAAUUCUUUGAUUUGUCGUUUUUACCCCAUGACGGCUGACAAAUUGGACUUCUUUAUUUUAGUAUAAUAGAUAUCCAAUCCUGCCUCUGUCUCCAGUCCACAUCUUACUGUAUACCUAUUUGUCAAUUAAAGUUCACAUUUUCUACCUCAAAUGGACAAUUUAGAAUUCUUGUCACAACAGUAUCAUCUGUAACCAUAUAUCAGAAACAAUUUACCUAAUAAAUAUACUAGAAGUGUUCAAACAAAGCCAUAUUUGCAAUAGUUGUAUGUGUGCAGAUUCCAGUCUGAGAUAUAAACUCACUUAAAAUGUUAUAGAGAUGACUGCUAACAUUUGAUUUUUGCAUAACUUCCGAGCAUAGUUAUUCCUUUCUAUAUCAAGAACUUAAAAAUCAUAAAAGCAUAGCAUUUACAAGUUAAAUUAUCUGUUUUAUGACCCAGGGGGUAGGCAAUUUUCUAUUUCUUUUGCCCCUGAGGCCUCAAAUUUCCUAAAUUUUUCUGCUUGAUCUAGAAAUUUGAAAUAUGUAGUACAUAUUCAGGAAAGAGCUCAUUAUUGUCAGUUUUGUUGAGAUAUUUUUGUAUUUCUAGCUUGUAUUUUUUAUGCCGUGGUGACAAAAAACAGAUUAAGGUGUCACGACUUACUUUUGGGUCAUCGACAGGACACAAACACCCCAUAAAUAAUAUUCAGGAAGGAUCGAUGAGUUUCAAUUACCGCGAAGAGUAAAUAUAAGCACUUCUUAACCAUUUAACUUACAAAUAUGCAAAUAUUAUGAAUUGAUUUUGUAUUCAGAACUAUGCAUACUGUUAAAUGUGAAUGUAUGCUGAGUCAUCAUAUCUAAGGCCCAGGAUUCUAUCAAUCUUCAUGAAAUAUUUAUAAAACUUCAUAUUUGAGUUAAUUUCUUUAAAAUCUGUUAGAUAAAGCAAAUUAAUGUGGUUAAAUUCUGAAUGUUCUCUUUUUUCAUCCUAUAUAGGUUGCAUUUCUGUAAAUAUUGACAAUGCAAUUUCCCAUGGGAACUCCUUUUACGGCUAAAACUGUACCACUUUUACUAUGAAGUUUUGAAAAAAAUCUUAUCCUUGAAUUGAAAGUUCAUGUGCACCACAAUUUUUUUCAAAUGUCAAAAUAUAGGGCUGUGCGGCAUAUUUUCAACGUUUAUAUGCCCUGAACUAGUCAGAGUUUAAACUAAGUCUAAUUUUCUUAACUACCCCUAUCUCGAAUGAAGGGUUAGCACAGAUUUCAAUGUAAAUAAUAUGCACAUUUAUAUUUACUGGUAACAUUCCUAAGGUAUGUCUCUAUGAGAUGGAACACAGAGAUCAUAACUGGGAACCAGUAUGUAAACAAAAUUAAUUUUCUAUAAAUAUUCUAAAUCUCCUAAAAAAAAGGCGUGGUUUGAGAAACAGCUGUAUUUACAAAGUGCAACCUUUAGCUCUUUGACAUUAAUAUUUAGUUCAAGUUACAUUUAAAUUCAAUAUAAUUUUUACAGACUCUUGUUCAGAAAGUGACACAAAUAUUAUACUACUAAGACGUCUUGUCCUACUAACGCUUCUGACUCCGAGUCAAUAACUCUAUUCGCAUGCUUAGCGAAUUAGCAGCAAAUAUCAGUUUUUUAGAGUAUUUGUGCUCAUGCGCAAAAGUUAUUCACGGUGGCCACAAUCAUCUGUUUUUAUCACUGCUUACUUGUCGUACUUUAAAUAUAAUUAGUAUACGAGCAAUUAUAGUUUUAAAACAUAUGUAUGUUUAACUUGAAAACUUAGUCUAUAUUCCUUAAAAAUUACAAUAAAUAAUAAUAUAGUUUUUUUUUAAAUUAAGAAGAUGUCUUUCUCGAAACACAUUCGAUUAUUAAAUUUGGAAGUUUUUUAAAUAUAGUUUUUUUUUAUAAUGAACAAAUAAGAUGUUGCUGAACCUUAUUUCAAGAGUUUGUAUGGUAUAAGUACAACGUUAGAUUAAAAAAAAAGUUUCAAUGUCCUCCGUGUUGCAUUUUUUUUUAUCUUUCCAAGGUACAAAGACAUUCGGUUAUUGUCCUUAUAAAAACGUUUUUUAUAAAUAUCUUAACGAAAUGAAUGCUUCAGAGCAAAUGUAAUUAUGCAAUUUCCGUUAUGAUUUAUAUUUCCAAAGGGUAUAACUCGUACCUCAGAAAUUACAAAGUGGAAUAUUUUGAAACUUUAAAGGAAUAUAUAUAAGAUGUCGUUAGGUCGAACCGGUCACAUUUUACAUCAAAAUUAAAUAAAGGAAAUCAAUCUUUUCCUGAGUAGGUAUCAGACAGAGUACAUGUACAUGCAGUAUAUACUAGUCAACAAAAGGAAACGAUCCAAGGUAAUGUAUUUCCAUUUAUAAUGAAAUUUGAUACACUGUACAAAGGUUAAAUAACAAAAUAUAUAGCACCCCCUCCUUCCUUUAAAAAAAAAAGUUAAACGGGGCGUAUCAUUUUUAUUCUUCACGGAAUUAUUCAAUUAUUAUUAUAGCAUAUUUGUUUCAUAAGGAAUAUUCAUCAGGAAAUUAGCUAUGAUAAAGUUUUCAAAAGGAUGUUUGUGAUAGGAAGUAAAUAUUCGCAGAUAUUAUUACUGUGCAGUUUAAACACAUGUCAAGAUUUAAUUGAUACACAGGUUAUUAAAAUCUUUACAACUAAUUUCCUAAUGCAUGUAGAACAAAACUUUGGUUAGCUUGCUUGCUUUGUUUGUAUAUUGUACAAUCAUUAGGAUAACACCAAAUUAAAUUCAAAUAUGAUAUAUAGAGGUUUAACUAUGCCUGUCAUUCCUAUAUAAAUUGUUUAAAGAUGUCAACCUUAUUUACAAAGCUUGUAUAAACAAGAAUGUGUCCAUAGUACACGGAUGCCCCACUCGCACUAUCAUUUUCUAUGUUCGAUGGACCAUGAAAUUGGGGUCAAAACUUUAAUUUCGAAUUAUAAUAAGAAAGAUCAUAUCAUAGGGAACAUGUGUACUAAGUUUCAAUUUGAUGUAACUUUUACUUCAUCAAAAUCUACCUUGACCAAAAACUUUAAGCUGCACGUGCACUUCGCACUAUCAUUUUCUAUGUUCAUUGGACCAUGAAAUUGGGGUCAAAACUAUAAUUUGGCAUUAAAAUUAGAAAAAUCAUAUCAUGGUGAAACAUGUGUGCUAAGUUUCAAGUUGAUUGGACUUCAACUUCUUCAAAAACUACCUUGACCAAAAACUUUAACCUGAAGCGAACGGACGCACAGACGGAUGAACGAACGGACGAACGGAGGCACAGACCAGAAAACAUAAUGCCCCUCUACUAUCAUAGGUGGGGCAUACCAAUUAUACAAACAAACCAAGCAAGCUGUAAAUCACCUUUGUGUGUUGAUCCCAUACCCGCAUUUCAAGUCAAAUCGUCAACCUCAGCGUCGAGUAUAUACAAUUUCGUAACACGUCAAUUAACAAUAAUUGAUUGGCAUUGUGUUCGAAGUCGAAUACUAUAUUACUAAUAUAAAAUAAAAAUAGUGUGUGUGUUUGUGUGGAUGUCUGUGUAAAUUGUGAUUGUAUUACAUGUAGUUUACAGAGAAACAUUUUAUAAUUUUUAUAAAAUUCUGGCACAAAGUAUACAAAUGAUAGCGCUGACUAUGCGAUUUACAUUGUAUCUCUUUUAUAAAUAGAUGAUCAGAACUGUUUUUUGAACUAUCUGGUCCAUUACAUUGCUGAUGUAAACCUAUGUUAUAAGUUUUAUAAAAAUUUGGCAAGAAUUGUACUGAGACGUGCGGACAGAAGGAUAGUAUUUAAGAACGCCCGAUAUUUCUAUGUCCAAACAAGGCAUUACGCAGAAACAUAAAGACAAAACUACACACAAUUCGAAGCGACAUUAGUUAAUAAAGUAAAGUAUCCAACGUGUUUUAACAUAUCUGAUAAAAGAACCGAAACAAAAGUUGUUCAAAAUAAAAUAGGGGGGAAUCCUAUUAUAUUUACAUAUACAUGUACAUUGUAGUUAUAUAAAUAGUAUGUGUGUUUGUGUGGAUGUCUGUGUAAAUUGUGACUGUAUUACAUGUAGUAUACAGAGAAACAAUGAUACAAAUGACAUACCUAUUUAAGUGUGGAAGGUAAAUGGUCACAUGAUUUAAUGUUCGUAAGCCAGGGGAGAUAAUUAUUUAAAUAAAUAGAAUUUAACGUUCAUCUUGUAAAAAUACACCAAGUGAAGAACGAAUUAUCAUAUAACUAAUUAACCCUGGUUUCAUUUUUAUUAUCAUGAUUAUCGUAUCAUAAUUUUAUGUAACUUUAUUAAUCAGAUGAUUUUAAAAAGCCUUUUAUAUAUUCAUUGCAUGCAAAAUAACAUCAUAUUAAACAUGAACAUGAUAAACUAAAGAUGAGGGUCCUUCAUUUCUAUACACGAUAGUUUUUAAUCAAUUUUCGUCUAUGCUUUUUUUUUUAUGGUCCAUUAUUUCCUACCCUUUAUAUUUUUACAGACAAUUUUCCUUUUUUUUUCAUUAUUUUAGGCCAUUUUCUACCAAUUCAUCCUAUGUUUUUCUUCUCUUUCCAGUUACGAGUUACGGUAGUGGUAUUCCGAUAUUUCAAUAUAUUAAUUCAUGAUGGCCAUUUUUUUUUAUUUGUGAAGGCAGCCCAUGAUACCGUUACAUAGGUGAUUGGGGAAUUGAAAACUGAUUUCUUUUGGUUAUCCUCCAACCGAUAGUUCAACCCUUGUUAAAGAAGUCGUGCUGGUCCGAGACCACAAUUGUCGUCCCUUGAUUUUCGUUCACAAAUAUAGUCCCUAGUGUUGACAGUGGGUUACUUGCCAUUAAUUUUUAUACCCCUUCCAAAUUUAUUUCUCCAUGUUUAAUGUCUCAAAUUGCAAGUAGGGGGGUGAAAUUACACUGUAAAGAAAUUUGGGUCCAGAAUUGUAAAGGAAAGUAGUGAUUUGGUCCAGCUGAAAAAGGUUUAAAAUUAGCACUUCGGAAGCUGUCAGAAGAUUUCAAGACGCCCUAAACAUAAAAUUGUCCAUAUUUUGAGUUAGAGCCGAUGAAGAUUUCUAUAAUUUUGAUAUAAUUUGUCCCAAAAGUAGUACAACACACUGUCAAAGUUUCUUUGGGGAAGCGCAGGUGGGAUUUCUUUUAUUUUCAUUUAUGUUCUAAAAGAAAUGCACUACGAAAUAAUUUGCCCUUCAAUACCUUGCGCAAAAGAAGUGCCUAUUUCUCCUCUACAAGACCUAUAUAGUCAUACCCCGUGACACCCGUCAUUAUUUUUCUUAGAAGCCCUAAUAGGCCGAACACCCUGUUUUUUACCAUUUGUUUCAAAUUUUGAGCUCUAAGUUUCAAUCUUUGAACAUUAGCGCCCUUCUGAUACCUUGCGCAAAAGAAGUGCCUCUUUUCUCCUCUAAAAAACAAGACCUAAUGUAGGUCCAUACCCCGUGACACCCUCAUUAUUUUUCUCUAGAAGCCCUGGAAUAGGCCGACCCCCCCUGUUUUUUACCAAUUUUUUUUUAAAUUUUGAGCUCUAGUUUCAGAUUUUUGAACAUAGCGCCCUUUGAUACCUUGCGCAAAAGAAGCGCCUAUUUCUCCUCUACAAGACCUAUAUAGUCAUACCCCGUGACACCCCUCAUUAUUUUUUCUCUAGAAGCCCUGGAAUAGGCCGACCCCCCUGUUUUUUUACCAUUUUUUUUCAAAUUUUGAGCUCUAGUUUCAGAUUUUUGAAACAUAGCGCCCUUCGAUACCUUGUGCAAAAGAAGCGCCUAUUUCUCCUCUACAAGACCUAUAUAGUCAAUACCCCGUGACACCCCUCAUUAUUUUUCUCUAGAAGCCCUGGAAUAGGCCGAACCCCCCUGUUUUUUACCAUUUUUUUUCAAAUUUUGAGCUCUAGUUUCAGAUUUUGAACAUAGCGCCCUUCGAUACCUUGUGCAAAAGAAGCGCCUAUUUCUCCUCUACAAGACCUAUAUAGUCAUACCCCGUGACACUCUCUCAUUAUUUUCUCUAGAAGCCCUGGAAUAGGCCGACCCCCCCCCCUGUUUUUUUUACCAUUUUUUUUUCAAAUUUUGAGCUCUAGUUUCAGAUUUUGAACAUAGCGCCCUUUGAUACCUUGGGCAAAAGAAGUGCCUGUUUCUCCUCUACAAGACCUAUAUAGUCAUACCCCGUGACACCCCUCAUUAUUUUUCUCUAGAAGCCCUGGAAUAGGGCAACCCCCUUUUCUUCAAAUGUGUAUGUUAGUUUAAUUAAACAAAGACAUCACAGGUGCGAUAUUUUACAGGGUAGGACUACUUUUACAUACGUUCUAAAUUGAAGUGGGUGUAUUGGUGACCCUACAUCUACAAAUAAUCUGUUGAAAGAUGCAGAUUUACUGUGGUACUGAAUAUUAGCCUUAAAAGAGAUGUGACUUGUUUAAUCAAUAAAUGGUAUAAAAACCAUUUCAAGAUUGAGUUGAAAUUGCAAUAUUUGGACUGAUUUUCUGCCUUUUUGAAUAUUUUUUGAUUUAACGGCCGUUGCUGUCUUAUUCAUUUUUUUGGUUUCUCGAUAUAUCUCCUUAUUGUUCGCUGGCUUAUUGUUCGCUAGCUAUUGUUCGCUAGCUUCUGCCUGGUCAAUUCAACAAAAGAAAUAUUGAAACAAAAUUUACAGAGAUCAACAAUCGGUCUAACGAAAUGCAUGCAUUGUAAGGAAUUUCAAUGCUUGAUAGUAAGCUCUUUUAAUCUGUCUUGUUUUACAGAGAAAAAUGCAUUAAUUUCACAAAAUCUCAGUCUAUAACAAAAAUCUAACUUCGAAAAACAUUCAGAUAUUGCUCACGACGAUGUUCCUGACAUUGUGCCUGAAUGUGGCAACUACUGACGGGCUUUCUGUCUUGGGACCGGCAUAUGGCAACUACUGACGGCUUUCUGUCUUGGGACUGGUACAUAUGGCAACUACUGACGGGCUUUCUGUCUUGGGACCGGCAUAUGGCAAGUACUGACGGGCUUUCUGUCUUGGGACCGGUAUAUGGCAACUACUGACGAGCUUUCUGUCUUAGGACCGGCAUAUGGCAACUACUGACGAGCUUUCUGUCUUAGGACAGGCAUAUGCCAACUACUGACGAGGUUACUGUCUAGCGAUCAGAAGAUGUCUAAUAGGUUGCAAUUUUUUAGGGCAGCCCAUGAUACUGAUAUAUAGGUGAAUUCCUUUUGGUCAUCUUCCAACCGAUAGUCAAACCCUUGUUAAAGAAGUCGUGCUUGUGGUUACGGGGGAUUUAUAAAUACAAACUCACGUGCGACCAACAUGGGAACGUUAAAGCCGAUACCUCAUUUCAGAGAAAGUAUCCAGCUCACUUUACGUGAAGACUUAAAGUAUCCGUUGGUGGCCGGUUACAUGGUUUACUUUCUGUCCCAAUUCUUUAUACCAAGGACGCGUGACAUAAAAUAAUAGUCUAAAAAUCGGUUGACCUUUGUCAGACGAAUAUUAACAACAUCUACAGUUCAGAUUGAUAUAAAAAAAAAGAAGAUCUGGUAGGAUUGACAAUGAGACAACUGUCCACAAGAGACCAACAUGACACAGAAAUUAACAACUAUAGGACACCGUAUAUCCUUCAACAAUGAGCAAAGCCCAUACCGCAUAGUCAGCUAUAAAAGGCCCGAAAUGACAAUGUAAAAACAAUUCAAACGAGAAAACUAACGGCCUUAUUUAUAUAAAAAAAAAAUGAACGAAAAGCAAAUAUGUAACACAUAAACAAACGACAACCACUGAAUUACAGGCUCCUGACUUGGGACAGACACAUACAUACAUAAUGUGGCGGGGUUAAACAUGUUAGCGGGAUCCCAACCCUCCCCUAACCUGGGACAGUGGUAUAACAGUACAGCAUAAGAAUGUACUAUAAAAAUCAGUUGAAAAAGGCUGAACUCAUCAGAUGGACAAAAAACAAAUUUUUAAAUUUGUGCUAAAAAAAGAAGCUGAAAGAAGCCACCGGCUUCCGAUGAACACAUAUUUCAACUGCAGCGAUUAUCAUAGUUUAAUGAAAGACAAAUUAAAAGAGUUGGUAUUGCUUAGUUGUUGGUAUUCAUAAAAAAGAAUGGCCAACAUAGGUACACGUAUCUUGUCUUAGGGAAGAAUAAAUCUUACUUUGUAAAGGAUCAAACUGAUUCGAACAAAAAAAUCUCUGAAACUGACAUUAUCAAGAAGCUUGAUUUCUUGAUUGACAACAUGUUUGUUACGUUUGAAGGACGUGCCAAGCAAUUUCAAAGAAUUGUGAAGGAGCCAAUGCAACUACUAUGAACUAAGAUUAUUUUGAUGGUCUUGGUGCAUUUUUUUAAAAUUAUGAAUAUUAAAGUACCGAAAAAUAAAAAUUAAAAAAAUUAAAAAGCAAGAUCAAGGCGAUUGGAUAUUUUUACUAAUGAGAAAAUCAUCUUCAUAGAGAAAUUCAAAAUGUUAGCGUACAGUAUUCAAAUUUUAAAAAUUAAUUAUAAAUCUAUCAUGCUUACACCGACUACACAUCUAAAGACGUCAGAAAAAUAUUCAUAUUUGCUUAUUUUGGACCAGUACACCAAUUGAAACCUCAUACAGACAAUAUUGGUAUUAAAUGUUUACAUUAAACUGAGUUUAAAAAAAUAAACACAGUGUCUUUUGUUUAAUCUGACCAUUAUCAAAGAAUGUUAUCUUAAACUUGCGCAUGCAUACUGUACUGUGUAGUUACAGAAGAAGGUGUCUUUCCUUAUAGUUUACAGUUAUGACUUUUUUGCUUGUAUGUGUAUGUCAAAUGUUUAGAUAAGUAAACAUGUUUUUAAUGGACGAUCAUAUCACAUCUUCUUUUUACACUUUAAAAAUUAACAAAUAACCAGUCGGUUGAAAACAAUUGAAAGCCAACAAACUUAGUAGUUAACUACAUUAAACCGAAUAUUAAACCUUACUUUGAACGGGCGAACGGACGGGCAGUCACACCAGAAAACACUAUGCCCGAGCGGUAGUGAGGGCUAAAAUAACACGAAUAUAAUGCCUACCCAUGUUAAAACUACAAUAAAGUAUAGCUUGCAUCAAUUAUUUCGAUUCUGAAAUAGGACACUUAAGGUAAUUUGAUGUCCGAUAAGUAUAGCGUUUGUGUAGGCUCUCUCAUGAACCUCCCUUUUUUGUUUGUAAAGAAGCAAACGGCUGGCACUGUGAUUUUUCAGAGGGAGGAGUUUGAACAGCCAGCAUGAACGGUUGUGGUAUGUAGGUCAAAUCUGUCAAUUUCGGAAUGCAACACAUUACAGUCAUAAUAAAUGAAUUAGUAAACACCAUGUGCACCAUUUAAGAGUUUGAAAGUGUUUUAAAAAGUUACAUUAAAUGCAUGAUAAUUUGAUAAAAUUCAUUCUUCUGAAGAAGCUCAAGGCAAUAUACGCAUGUUUAAACACAUUUUGUUGGAUUUAGAGCAUGGGUUUGUUCACAAAGCGAAAGAAGCACGUCAUGUUAGAAUUUGAAUUAUAAUAAGUCUUAUCAUGCAUAUGCCACAGCCAACAUAGCAACUUAAUUAAUCUCAAAAUCUCAAAAUCACAUCAAACGUUGGACCAAUGUUCUUUAUUUCAAAAUCUUUUAAUUCGUCAGCCUUGAGUACUCUUAUUUUAUAGUUAUCAUAAGAGCCAAAUACCAUCCUACCACCAGGAAGCAGUGAACAGCCUAUGGCAACUCUAUAUUGAUACGUUUCUGUAAUGUCAAAGUAAGAUUUUUGAAAUCUCUAGUUGGAGGAGUUACCAUAAUCUGGGUUUGUUUGUUUCCUCCGUUUCUAAACAGAAAAAUCACAUGAAUCGGAGCUGACAUUAAUUUCUCAAAACUUCUGCACGUUGGCAGUUAUUUGCUGUAAAUACUCGUUAAUCUGACAUGAUAUAUUGACUUGGUUUGUUGAGUCACUUGUGGUAAUCGAUUGAAUCCUUUUUUGAGAAAAUAUAAGUAUUGUUAGUCAUGUAUAUUUGUAAAAGAAGGUAUGCUAUGACUAGAUAAAAAAUGUAGCCUCGCAACAGGUUCUCUAUAGACCUCUCAAUAAUUGGUGAUAGGAAUCUUCAACCUGUCCAGAACCUGACGUGAUUCCAUUGCAUUUUUAAUUUCCCUAUUCCUGUCGCACAAUGUUGUAUAUUUAUACAUCUCGCAUGUAUUUACCCCUCAACAUGGCUCUUUUCUCCAGGGAGGGAGAAUGACAGGUGACCAUAUCAAUAUAUAGAUAAGCGAAGCGGGAUACGAUCGCAGAUGUCUAACCCUGAAAUGGACGGGCCAAUAUGGACACAAUAUUCACUCUUGAUACAGUUCUGAAUUUGAAUUGUAAUUAAAUUUUUGACACAUAAUAGGUUUCUGACACAGAAUCACUGUAGUCAAAGAACUUCAAAUUAGUUAUAUACGAUUUCAAUUUAUAUUCAAUUUUUUGCUUUAGUGCAAUACACUAUGCUGUUGCGAAUUGACCCCCCCCCUAAAAAAAAGUGUUAAUUUUCCCCCGGUUUUUUGCUUUUGUGCAAUAUACUAAGCUGUUGAAUAUUUGCUCCAAAAAAAUAUUUAAAGAACUUUUCUUUUAAUUUCGGAAAUCUGAAAUGAGAAAAAUGUCCCCUUUUCAUUUUUUUUAUCUUCCUUUCCCUUAUUUCAAAAAUAAAAUCAUUCCCUCAAGAUAUGAUCAGUUCCUCAAUUCAAAUUUCUAAUGAAGUUUGCAACCAUAAUUACCCAUCUUAAUACAUAAAAAAAGUCUUAAAAUAUAAAAUGACAUACAUUAUUAUGGCUAAAAUUAAUUUCAAUUAUUAGUAACUGUUGAAAAUAAAUUGACAGCUAAUCAAUUCAAGACAAUCAUCAUUUCUUAAUACAUAUUUGACAAGCAGUGUUAUGGAGGUAAUCAAACAUUGUUCUUUAAAAUAGAUUAGGAUUACCUCCCUUACACUGCUUUUCAAUUGUCUAAAUUGUCCUUUAACCAGAAAACCCCUUGUCUACCCCUUAUUUGUCCAUAACUCCUGAAUGGCAUGGUUUGACCAAUUAAACCGCAAAGUCCUUUGUAGUAUAGAAACUUGUGAUAUAAUUUCAGAGAGAUGCAUACACUUUUACACAAUUAUUGUCCGGACACCACAAAUAUGCUUAUUUGGGCCGUUUUCUCACCCCUAAUUCAUAAAUAGUUAGGACCAUUACCCCGGAAAUCAAUUACAACCUUUCUAUAGUGGUUAUAUACCUUGUGUUACAAUUUUAUUGAUUUUUAUUUACUUAUACUAAAGUUAUUAUCCGGAAAUCAUCUGUCUUCGGACGACGCUGACGACGACGACGACGACGACAACAACGUGAUAGAAAUAUACGACCUCCUAAAUGAUAAUGAAACCACAUAUCCUUAUUGACAAUCGUAAUUGCCUCUCCUUGAUAUCAAUCGCAUCUAUAUUUUCUUAAGGACAAUCAUACAGCGCUUUUUAUUCAUAAUAAUUCGUUAUAUCAUAUUCUCAUUAAGCCACAUCUAGUCAUUAAAUAUCCAGCUAUAUCUUCUUACCCACACUCAAACCACAUCUUACUAUUUAGAUAUUUUCAAUCAUACAAUACUCAUUAUUGACAAUCAUACCUCAUCUUCUUAUUGAAAAUCGUUCCACGUUAACAAAUUGACAUUCUUAUGACAUUGCCGUAUUAGCAAUCAUACCACAAUACAUCUCACUAUUGACCAUAAUAAGACAUCUCCUUAUUGAAAAGCAUGCCACAUUUUCUUAUUGAAAAUCUUACCAAAAUUCAACAUUGACAUUCAUAUCACGUCACCUAAAUUGAAAAUCAUACUGCAUCUCAUUAUUGAAAAUGAAAGCAAUCUUCUUAUUGACAAUCAUACUACAUCUCUUUAUCGAAAAUCAUAACACAUCUUCUUAUAGACAAUCAUAUUAAUCUCAUUAUUGACAAUCAUACAACAUUUUCUAAUAGGCAAUCAUACCACAUCUUCCUAUUGACAAUCAUACCACCUCUUCUCUUUGAAACUCAUAGUACGUCGUCUUAUUGACAAUCAUGACCAAAUCUCCUUAUUGAUAACCAUGACCGAAUUUCCUUAUUGACAAUCAUGGCCGAAUCUCCUUAUUGAAAAUCAUGACAAAAUUUCCUUAUUGACAAUCACGUCCGACCUCCUUAUUGACAAUCAUGUCCAAAUCUCCUUUUUGAUAAUCAUGACCGAAUUUCCUUAUUAACAAAAAUGUCCGAAUCUCCUUAUUGAUAAUCAUACAACGUAUUUAAUGCGUUAUGAUUAUUUUUCUUAUUUUUACAUUGUCUAACUUAUUUAUAUAUACGAUAUACCAUCAUCUUCCUUAUCUUCCUUAUUGACAAUGAUAUCCGCAUCUCCUAAUGGACAAUCGGGACCGCAUAAUGGAAUUUGAUGCGACUGUUAUACAAGUGAGAGGUUUAGCUAGCUAUAAAACCAGGUUCAAUCCACCAUUUUCUACAUUUGAAAAUGCCUGUACCAAGUCAGGAAUAUGACAGUUCUUGUCCAUUCGUUUUUGAUGCGUUUUGUUAUUUGAUUUUGCCAUGUGAUUAUGGACUUUCCAAAUUGAUUUUCCUCUGAGUUCAGUAUUUUUGUGAUUUUACUUUUUUCUCAUUAUUGACAAUCAUGACCAAAUGUCCUUAAUGAUAAUCAUUCCGAAUCUCCUUAUUGACAAUCGGGACCGAAUCUCCUUAUUGAAAAUCGGGACCGACUCUCUUUAUUGACAAUCAUAUCAAAAUCUCCUUUUUGACACUAAGGACCAAAUUUCCAUAUUGACAAUCAGGACCUAAUCUCCUUAUUGACAAUCUUGCGUAAAUCUCCUUAUAGAUAACCAUGACCGAAUCUCUUUAUUGAAAAUCAUGACCGAAUUUCCUAAUAAACAUUCAUGACCGACCUCCUUAUUGACAAUCAUGUCCAAAUCUCCUUAUUGAUAAUAAUCCCGAAUCUCCUUAUUGACAAUCAUGACCGAUUAACAAUCUUCUUAUUGACAAUUCUAUCCAAAUCUCCUUUUAGACAACCAGGACCGAAUUUCCCUAUGGACAAUCAUUACAUAAUCUCCUUAGUGACAAUCAUGUCCAAAUCUCAAUAUUGAUAACCAUGACCGAAUUUACUUAUUAACAAUCAUGACUAACCUCCUUAUUGACAAUCAUGUCCAAAUCUCCUUAUUGACAAUCAUGUCCAAAUGUCCUUAUUGAUAAUCAUUCCGAAUCUCCUUAUUGACAAUCAGGACCGAAUUUUCAUAUUGACAAUCAGGACCUAAUCUCCUUAUUGACAAUCUUGCGUAAAUCUCCUUAUAGAUAACCAUGACCGAAUCUCUUUAUUGAAAAUCAUGACCGAAUUUCCUAAUAAACAUUCAUGACCGACCUCCUUAUUGACAAUCAUGUUCAAAUCUCCUUAUUGAUAAUAAUCCUGAAUCUCCUUAUUGACAAUCAUGACCGACUCUUCUUUUUGACAAUUCUAUCCAAAUCUCCUUUUAGACAAUCAAGACCGAAUUUCCCUAUGGACAAUCAAGACAUAAUCUCCUUAGUGACAAUCAUGUCCAAAUCUCCUUAUUGACAAUCAUGUCUUAAUCUCCUUAUUGAUAAUCAUCCCAAAUCUCCUUAUUGACACUCAUGGCCGACCUCCUUAUUGACAAUCAUGUCCAAAUCUCCUUAUUGACAAUCAUGUCCAAAUGUCCUUAUUGAUAAUCAUCCCGAAUCUCCUUAAUGACAAUCAGGGCCGAAUCUCCUUAUUGACAAUCAUGACAUAAUCGCCUUAUUGACAAUAAUGUCCAAAUCUCCUUAUUGAUAACCAUGACCGAAUUUCCUUAUUGACAAUUAUGUCCGAAUCUCUUUAUUGUAAAUCAUGACCGAAUUUCGUAGUUGACAAUCAUGACCGACCUCAUUAUUCACAAUCAUGUCCAAAUUUCCUUAUUAAUAAUCAUGACCAAAUUUCCUUAUCCCUGUGUUAUCAACAAUCAUGUCCGAAUCUCCUUAUUGAUAAUCAUCAACUUAUUUAAUGCGUAUUGAUUUUUUUUCUUAUUUUCACACUGUCUGAACAUAUUCAUAUACGUAAAACCAACAUUUUCUUUAUCUUCCUUAUUGAGAAUCGGGAUCGAAUCUUCUUAUUGCCAAUCCGGACCGAAUUUCCCUAUUGACAAACAUGACCGAAUUUCCUUAUUGACAAUCAUGUCCAAAUCUCCUUAUUGAUAAUCAUCCCGAAUCUCCUUAUUGACAGUCGGGACCGAAUCUCCUUAUUGACAAGCAUGUCCAAAUCUCCUUAUUGACAAAUAUGUCUAAAUGUCAUUAUUGAUUAUCAUUCCGAAUCUCCUUAUUGACAGUCGGGACCGAAUCUCCUUAUUGACAAUCAUGAACAAAUCUCCUUAUUGACAAUCAUGUCCAAAUCUCCUUAUUGAUAAUCAUCCCGAAUCUCCUUAUUGACUAUCAUGUCCGGAUCUCCUUAUUGACUAUCAUGUCCGGAUCUCCUUAUUGAUAAUCAUGACAAAAGCUCCGUAUUGAUAAUCAUGACCGAAUAUCCUUAUUGAUAAUCAUAUAACGUAUUUGAAGCGAAUUGAUUAUUCUAAUUAUUGUGACAUUGCCUAACUGCCUCAUGUACGUAAUACCAACAUCUUCUUUACUUAAAUUGAAAGUUGUUAUGUUAAUUUUGUCAUUAUGUUGUUGUCUCGUUUACGUGUAACGCAUUUCCUUGCUUAUUUAUACUGAACUUUUUAACAGACAUCUUCAAAUUAAACUGUCUUUGAUAUUAAGUCGGGAUGUUCUCUGAUAUCUCCUUUUAUUUAUACGGAACUGUCAUAAUACUUUUUUUUCGAUGAGUUGCUGUCUCGAAAACGUAUGACAGACAUUUUACUAUUAUUCAUAUGGAACUGUCCUUAAAUCUAUUUUGCAGAUGAAUUGCUGCCUCAUAACUGUAAUUUGUGGUAUAUCUAUACCAACGAAAUCCACUAAAACUUGUACCCCACGAAUAAUAAUGAAUCCUUAGAAGUUUAAUUUUUCUGUAUAAUCUCGAUAAGAUGUCGUCGAGUCUCGGGUCCAAUACAGCUAAUCUCAAAUCUAUAACAGGGCCAAUACAGAAAUUGUCAGUUAAUAACGCUAUAAAUUAAUUUUAAACAGAUCUUAAUUAGAUCACAAAAAAAUUAUAUAAUUCAAUUAAAAUAAUAUUUGUAAUCGAGAUCAAGAAAAUGUUGAAUAAGGUUGAAAAAGUCACCCUUCAUGUCUUAUUAUUUAACAUCAUACAGAAAGGCUUCAUUGGAUGGAUUUGCAACUAACAAUUCAUUGGUAGACGUGUCAUAAUGCAGAGCCCAUGGGAAGCUCAGUCCAUCUUCACUUGAUAAGAGUUGUCUGUAGUGUUGUCCAUCAGCAGAGAUAACAACCACAUUGCUAGUAUAUCCUCCCACUACAUACACGUUUCCAUCAUUGUCUACAGAGAUACCGCGUGGAGAGUUCACAACACUUUUAUCACAGAACGUCCACAGUAUGUGACCAUGGUAAUCACAGCAGGUUACGCUGUCAUUGAAUUUGUGUAGAACAAUUUGUCACCGAAUGUUGUAACGUACGCAAGACCUGAAAGUUUGGUAUUGUUAACAUUGGUAAUUGUUUCGUCAUUCAGACUGAUCAUCUGUAUUCCUUUCUCUCUGGCACAAUAUAUUAAAUAUCCAUCUUUGUAUGCUACUCCACCAUUAUAUGAAUCAACUUUUAUUGAUUUCGUCUUUGAUUUCUUCUUUAAGUCGAUUAUAUUAAUCUGAUUUGAAAUGCCGGAAGUUACAGCAAUAGAAUCAUCACCAAUAAAUACCACAUCAAACGUUACACCAAUGUUCUUUAUCUCAAAAUCUUUUGAUCCGUCAGACUUUAGUACUGUUAAUUUAUUGUCAUAUCAGAGGAGAAUACCAUCCGAUCACCAGGAAGCAAUGAACAACCAGAGACAUCUGACAACUUUGUCUUGAUACGUUUCUGUAAUGUCAGAGUCAGGUUAUCGAUAUCUCUGGUUGGAAGAGUGACCAUAAUCUGGGCUUGUCUGUCCUUCCGUUUGUGAAUCGAAAAAUCACAUGGAUCAGAACAAACAUAUAUUUCCCCAAACUUCUGCACGCUGGCUGUUGAUUUGUUGCAAAGACUUGUUUAAUCCUACAUGAAAUAUUAACUUGAUUUGUGGAGUCACUUGUGGCAAUUGAUUUGAUAAAUUUUUCUUCGCCUAUAAUAUCUUUUUCGAUAUCUUUCAUUGUUAAAAAUGUUUGAAGUUCUGACGCAUGAUGUUUAAUACUGGCAAAAUUUUCUUGUACUUCAGCGAUCUCUUUUUCCUUCUUUUUUAGAGAAGUUAACAAUUUUUCUAUUUUGCUUUUUUCUCUUUGUUCAACUGUCAUUAGUUCUUUAAUCAAGUCAUCCUGAAGUUUAUCAAGGUGAUGAUUAACGUUUAUCCUGGUUUGUUUUAUUGCUGCUUCAAUUUCUCUUUUCUUGUUUUCUAUAGAUUUUAAAUUUUCAUUCCUGUUUGUGCUUAGUCGUUUAAUAUUCUCGACGACUUCCUGCAGGGUUUGUUCGAUUUCAUUAAAUGCGUUUGAAGUUUUUACGUUUUUUAUGAGUUCAUUUAUGUCAGUUAAACCUUUACAAUCGUUGUGAGAUUUCACACAUUUCUUACAGCAAGGACAAUCGUGUUUUGCACAAAACAGCUCGUAUUUCUCAUUAUGAAGUUUGCAGGUCUGAGAGAUUUGCAGGACUUCGGUGGGUAAGUUUUUGUAUUUGGCGAUAGAAACGGUUUCAUGGUUUUUUGAUGCCUUGGAAACCUGCAUGAUGUUUCUUACAACUCUCCACAUAGUCCUUCGUCACAUUCGGAACACCAUACUACUGAAGGUUUGGUAAUCUGAAGGUUUUCACAAAUACCACAAAUACCCCAAUUGGUGGCCAUAAUCCUAAAAUAG
rnacentral:lncRNA from 1 species